CUGAAAUAUGGUCAAAGAGAAAGACAAGACUCCAAGGCGCCACCGCUGGGCCAGGGCUCUGCUAACUAACAGCCUCAAUAAACCAAUGGUCUGAACAGAGACUUGGUUUGUCUCAGGCAGAAGAGCAGCAGCCUCCUGUGGGAGCCUGACAGAAGUUUAACAAUCGCUCGUGAGAUGCGUUAUCAACAUCUUGGAAAGGACUGGGAAUUGAAUGUGGGGAUUGACUCAUGCCAGGUUUAUUGCCUUUAAAGAAACAAGCAACAACACUGGAAACUCACUUCAUCAAGUUACGAAAGCCAGAAAGCAAAGGAGCAUCACUCUUUAAAGCUUGAAGGAAAAUAUUGGAAGCCCUAGGAUUCUGUACCCAAAAAAAUCAUCCGAAAAUGAAGAUGAGGGAUGGCUGGAUGGUUCAGAGGUGAAGGUCCUCGGCCCUGAGCUGGACCACGUGGGCUUGGUUCUCUGAACCCAUAUGGUAGGAGGAGAUUUCAACCUCCAGGAAAGGGGAGGAUUCACCUCUUUGGUUCAAAAUGGAAAACACUGCAGUAGAACUGUGUGUGAUACACAAUGUUGGGCAAAGCCUCCUUUGUAAGAUGACUGUUGACCAGGGACCCGAAUGGAAUGGGAGAUAAAGUCGCGUAGGUAGACCAGCAUGCUAGAUAGAGAAAUCUACAGUUUCAAACGCCCAGUGCUGAGCAUGUGCUCGAUGCUUUAAAUGAAUAGCAGGGAGGUCAAUAUGAUGGAAAAACACAAUGAAGAGACUCGGAAACAAGGUAAGAAACUAGCAAGAAACUGGAACUCUACUCAGGGAAUUAUAGUGAGCCUUUGGGAAGAUUUGAGCAGAAGAAAACACAAGGCAAUGAGUGUUUUGAACUGAUAUCUUCUGGCUCUGUGGUUAGACCAUUUUUUUUUUCUUCAACAAGCAGUGACAAAGCAGGGGCAAGUGACCAACUGGUGCAUGAAUUCAGAAAGAGAGUGUGACAGCUUAGACGGAGAGGACAUGUUGAGAAGUGUUGACCUCUGGGAUUCUUCUGAAAGUAGAGAUAAAGUAUGAGAGAUGGCUGGAGAGAGGGAAGGAGGGAAGGAGGGGUGAGCAGGGCGGGGAGAGACUGAUGGCUUCCAGUCUGAGCACUUGGGAAAAUGGGGCUUCCAGUCCCUACCAUAUGGGAUGCAGCUGCCACCAUCACUGCUGCCACCUCCAGCACCGUUAUCAUCCACAACAGCACUAAAAGGUAACAAAUACUGGUGAGGGUGUGGAGAAGUGGGAACCCUUGUGUACUUAGCACUAAAAUGGAAGCUACCGCCAUGGAAAUCAAUGGCAAUUCCUCAGAAAACUAAAAUUGGGGUUAUCAUGGUGUCUAGCAAUUUCACCUUCCAGUUUUUGUCCAAAAUAAUUAAAAUCGUGAUUUUAAAGAGAUGGCAAAACUCCAGGUUCAUGGUAGCAUUAGAUAACAUAUCCAAGAUAAGAAAACAACCCUAAAGGCCCAUGAACAAAUGGGUGAAUGAA